CGGACGGGUGAGUAAUGUAUGGGGAUCUGCCUGAUGGCGGGGGAUAACUACUGGAAACGGUAGCUAAUACCGCAUAAUGUCUACGGACCAAAGCGGGGGACCUCCGGGCCUCGCGCCAUCAGAUGAACCCAUAUGGGAUUAGCUAGUAGGUGAGGUAACGGCUUACCUAGGCGACGAUCCCUAGCUGGUCUGAGAGGAUGACCAGCCACACUGGAACUGAGACACGGUCCAG
rnacentral:rRNA from 1 species